rnacentral:rRNA from 1 species
GGAGGAAAAGAAACCAACAGGGAUUGCCCUAGUAACGGCGAGUGAAGCGGCAACAGCUCAAAUUUGAAAUCUGGCGUCUUUGGCGUCCGAGUUGUAAUUUGCAGAGGGCGCUUUGGCAUUGGCAGCGGUCCAAGUUCCUUGGAACAGGACGUCACAGAGGGUGAGAAUCCCGUACGUGGUCGCUAGCCUUUACCGUGUAAAGCCCCUUCGACGAGUCGAGUUGUUUGGGAAUGCAGCUCUAAAUGGGAGGUAAAUUUCUUCUAAAGCUAAAUACUGGCCAGAGACCGAUAGCGCACAAGUAGAGUGAUCGAAAGAUGAAAAGCACUUUGGAAAGAGAGUUAAAAAGCACGUGAAAUUGUUGAAAGGGAAGCGCUUGCAGCCAGACUUGCCUGUAGUUGCUCAUCCGGGUUUUUACCCGGUGCACUCUUCUAUAGGCAGGCCAGCAUCAGUUUGGGCGGUUGGAUAAAGGUCUCUGUCAUGUACCUCUCUUCGGGGAGAACUUAUAGGGGAGACGACAUGCAACCAGCCUGGACUGAGGUCCGCGCAUCUGCUAGGAUGCUGGCGUAAUGGCUGUAAGCGGCCCGUCUUGAAACACGGACCAAGGAGUCUAACAUCUAUGCGAGUGUUUGGGUGUCAAGCCCGAGCGCGUAAUGAAAGUGAACGGAGGUGGGAACCUUUCGGGGUGCACCAUCGACCGAUCCUGAUGUCUUCGGAUGGAUUUGAGUAAGAGCAUAGCUGUUGGGACCCGAAAGAUGGUGAACUAUGCUUGAAUAGGGUGAAGCCAGAGGAAACUCUGGUGGAGGCUCGCAGCGGUUCUGACGUGCAAAUCGAUCGUCAAAUUUGGGCAUAGGGGCGAAAGACUAAUCGAACUAUCUAGUAGC